rnacentral:rRNA from 1 species
UUUGCAGGCGCGUGCGAGGCAGCGAGAGUAGUGGGGACAGCCAACAAUUGAGCGGUGGGCGACUGUCCCAGUUUUCUCUCCUUCUACAUCCAGUCCUCUUCCUUCAUCCCCACCUCUCCCUUCCACCAACCCCCGCCGCCGGCGUAUGGAAGCCACGGGCUCCCCUAUGCAUCCUCGCAGGAUUCCAACCCCCGGCACUCUCCGCUCAUCCGUGCCGCACGCCGCCACUUCCUCCCCCAUAGGAACACCUCGAGGUUGAACCCGACGGUUUUGCAGGUUAUGGGAGUAAAGGAGCUGCUCUAGAUUUGUGCACAUCAUUCUCAGCUACAAAGUCACAUAUACUACUGUGUGGAAAGAUCAAACGAAAAAAAACAAACCAGAUUAUUGUCUAGUUUGUAGCUAUGUUUUCAUAGUACCUACAAAAUACAUUUCUUUUUUUGGUACAUGGACAUAUGUCCUGCUGUUUUAUGUGUGAAAUAAGACUCUCUAUGCACUCUCCUAUAUAUUUGCACAUUUUCUGCAUUUUUUGCACAUAGUGCUACAAAUGUUGGCUUGUCACAUGAUUUGGUUGCAUGGAAACCAGUUAAAAUUGCACAGGUACAAGAUCUCCAUAUUUUUUUAUCUCUGUUUAUGCUCUCUUCAACUAUGAAGAAGCUACUUUUGCAAAGAGAAAUUUUGUGAGGGGGAAAGGGGAAGUCAAUGAGGGGGGAUUUGAAUAUGAGAAGAAAAGGAUCACCUCCUGUUUUAUCCUUCUUGGUGCUACCUGGUACGUUCUGAUCUGUCCUCCCUCUUCUUCUUCUUUUCACAGCAAAUUGUUCUAGAUUCGCUAUUAUUCCACUUUUAUUCAUCUGCCAUGGCAGCUCUGGGAUGGAGUCCAAACCUAGGAAACCAUUGUUUCUUGGGGAAGAAGAAGGCAAGGCAGGUAAGGGCGUGGAGAAGUUGGUGGCUAGUGGGUGUGAGAGCUUUGGGAGGGAAGGGAAGUGCACGUGAUGGCCUGGGGUCUGGGGACCGCGCCCAGCAUGUGGUUUGCUGGGUUACGCGCGUCUAUUGCUACUAGGGGAGACCUACCCUUUUCUGGGAUAGGAGGGGGGACCGUAUAUUUCCUUUUCUGACGGCCGCUCGGGAUUGCUAGCGGGCAGACGGCCGCCCAAUUUUUUGUUGUACAUGUGAUGACAUGGACAUCGUGAGGAGGCGCCAUAGUCGUGACGGUUAAUGGGUUUUACAGUCUCUAUUUUUUCUGGGAGAGACAUACUCUUCUCAAAAUAAAAAUUAAAUAAAAAAGAUCUACAGGGCUGUUAUCUGAAUAAAAAGACGUAUACUUUUCCUCAGAAAAGGAUAAAAGACUGUACACAUGCAAAUAUAACUUAAUUUUUUUCCGCAACAUACACAACAUACUAUUUAACCAUAUGCAAUGAUACAAUCCUAUAUUCCAUCCUUAUUG